AUUGAACGCUGGCGGCAGGCUUAACACAUGCAAGUCGAGCGAGCGGCGGACGGGUGAGUAAUGUCUGGGAAACUGCCUGAUGGAGGGGGAUAACUACUGGAAACGGUAGCUAAUACCGCAUACCAUCAGAUGUGCCCAGAUGGGAUUAGCUAGUAGGUGGGGUAAUGGCUCACCUAGGCGACGAUCCCUAGCUGGUCUGAGAGGAUGACAAGCCACACUGGAAGUGAGACACGGUCAAGACUCCUGCGGGCGGUGGCAGUGGGGAAUAUUGUACAAUGGGGGCAUGCCUGAUGCUGCCAUGCCGCGGUUGGGAAGAAUGCCUUCGGGUUGUUACGCACUGUCAGCGAGGAUGCGUUACUCGCAGAAGAAGCAACGGCUAACUCCGUGCAAGCCGCCGCGGUAAUUC
rnacentral:rRNA from 1 species